GGAAGGGAUGGAAAUAUGGCCAGCUUCUUCUGCAGCCGAGCAGACGUGCCCCGAACCUGAGACAGCAAGCUGGAGCAGAGGCAGCAGUGCUUCCCCAGUGCCCGGGGCUGAGACCCUGCCCUCCUCCACUUUCGUCGCACCCCCACAGGGGGCGCUGCAGAGCUUCUUUCGGCUGGGGAGUUCCUGGGAGCUUAUGGAGCAGGAGCCACCUGAGGGGCCCGGUCGCCACCACCACCACCUGCACCCGGCGAGAGCGGGACAGGCUGGAGGCGGCGCCCGCGUGGGCAGAAGGACACUCUGUCCUCCAGACGUUGCUGCUGGACUGAGCCCGGGGCGGCGAAGGCAAAGGUGGCGGCGGCUCCCUCAGCAGCCGCUGCUGCUGUGCUGGCUCCGUGCCCAUCUGCCCAACCGGGCGCUCCCCUCCUUCUUCGCCGCCAGUGACACCGAUAGAGCCCUGGCCCCGGCUCGAUCAGGAGUUAGACUCCGGGACCCGGCCUGGCCCGGCCUGACCCAGCGCUAUGAGCACGGCUUGCGGCAGACAGAGCUCCCCCGGCCACUCCGCUGGCCCCUGCAGCAGCUGCCUUAGCCACGGGAGAGUAAGUGAACAUCUGGCGCUGGCGCGCGUGUGUCUGUAUGUCUGUGUCUGUGUCCCAUUGUCCGUCUGUCUUGGUCAACUUGGCAAUGCUGAUCUGGCCCGGGCUGGGAGCCAGGCAGGUCAUGCGAGGGCCGGGCACGCGGGCCCUGGGUAGUUCUGAGCCCCCCAGACCCUGAGUCUUGGGGGUUGGUCAUACCCUGCUUUACAGAUACCCUCUCUUCUUCCCUUCCUCUGGUGAGUCGUCCUGUAAAGAGGCAUCUUAGGAUCUACAAAGCUUUAGAUACUAAAACAUUUUAUUUGCGUGGCAGAGAUGUUGAGGUUUGUUUGCUGUAUGGGAUUCGGUCUGAGGCUCUGUUUCUUCUGGGGACGGGAGUCUUGACAGAUCUAGCAGUCAAUUAUGAUGCAGAUGUGAAAGAAAACUGAGGCAGGCUAAGCAGAUUAUCAGCCUUUGCGGGGGUGGACCUGGAAAGGGACUGAAAUACCAGCAUCCUGUGCAUCAAACAUAUAGUGGAAGUUUGAGAGCUGUUUCCAUUGCAUUCAGCCUUUCAAUAUGUCAUAUUUGUUGAAAGCUGAUGCAUAGGAUGCUUGCUGUGAUGCAUAGGAAGCUUGCCUUAUGCAGGUUUCCAUUUAAUAGUACCAAGGAAUGAAAAAUCAACUUUUAGGAUAAUGAAAUGUAAACCAGAAUAUUAUUGUUUCUUCUUUCUUUUGGGUUAACAUUAAGGUACUCUACAAUAAGCUUUCAUCAGGAGAAAAUGGAAGAUAAAUAAGACCAAGUCUUGGGAGAAAUCUGUGAAAUACAAUUUAGGAAAACAUUGUCUCACCUUCCUAAUCUUCCCAGAACAGGAAUCCUUUCUCUAACAUUUCAUUCUUGACAGGUGACUAUUUUCAGCUUUCGUUUGAAUACUUCCCAUGAUAGGCAACUCACUUCAUCUUUGGCAAUCUAUCGUUUUUCUUUUAGACAGUCAUUAAGUGGUAAUUUUUUUGUACAUUAAAAUGAAAUCUUCCUUCUUGUGCUUCUGCUUAUUCAUCCAAUUGGAAGAACACAAAAUUCAUUUAAUCUCUUUUCCAUAUUAUAUAGUCUUUCAAAUAUUUUUAAACAAUUGUUGUACCAUCUCUUCAGCAAUUCAUGAUGCUAUCCUUGAAUGAACUUGUCAGUGCCUCUCUUUAAAAGUGGCUGCCCAGAACUAAAUUUACUAUUCAGCAUAUGGUAUUAGCUUUUUCAGUAGUGACAUCUCACUGUUGUCUCUUUUAUUCAACUACAGCCCUCAAAGCAUUUUUAAGCUAUCUCUUCUUUAUUUGCACAAUUUGUUUUUUAACUUAAAUGUAUUUAUCCACUUCAUUCCAUCUUGUUAGUUGGGCUAAUUGUCUCCAACCUGUCAACUUCUUCUAAAGUCUCAAUUCAUUCAUCCAACCUAUUUGCCCUCUUAGCUCUGUCAUCUGCAUCUUUCUGUUCAUCAGCAUCAGUGAAAAUGUUGGAUAAGAUAAGGCCACAGACUCCUCAGGUCUCCUUCUAGACCAGUGGUUCUCAACCUUUCUAAUGCCAUGACCCCGCAAUACAGUUCCUCAUGUUGCAGUGACCCCAAACCAAAAAAUUAUUUUGGUGGCUACUUCAAAACUGUAAUUUUGCUACAGUUAUGAUUCGGAAUGUAAAUACCUGAUAUGUGUUAUGUAUUCUCAUUGCUACAAAUUGAGAGGUUGAGAACCUCUGUUCUAGACUAAUAGAAAUCCAUUAGGCAGCUCUUUGAAUAGAGUAUUCAAGUCAGAAUCUUUUAUUGUUCAGUCAUUUUCAGUCAUAUCCAACUUUUUGUGACCUCCUUUGGGGUUUUCUUGGCAAAGAUACUAGAGUGCUUUGCCAUGUCCUUUUCUAGCUCAUUUUACAUAUGAGGAAACUGAGGCAAACAGUGUCUGAGGCCAAAUUUGAACUUGGGGAGAUCAGUCUUCCUGACUAGAAGCCAGGCACUCUAUCCACUAUGCCAUCUAGCUGCCAAGAUUGAAUCUACCUUUUAUUCCUAAAGAUCAGAAAAUGCUAUAAAAUUCCUUACUGAAAUCAAGGUAAAUUAAUAUCUACAGAAUUCUCCUGAUCUAGCAACUCAUUAAUGCACUUAAAAAAGGUAAGGAAUAUAGUUCUUGGUCUUCUCAUAGUGGUUGCUACAGAUCACAUCUUUGUUUUCAAAGAACUCACAAACCAUUUAUUUCAUAAUCCAUUUAGAAUUUUGGAAGGGAAUUGGUAUGUGCCACUUUGUGAUUCCCUGGUGAUCUGUUCUUUUACUCUUCUUGAAAAUGGGGGGGUGUUUUUCUCCAGGGUUUUGACAACUUUUCCAUUCUACAUGAUUUAAAAAAGAAAAGACUACUGAGCACAGUUCUUUUAUCACAGUUUCAAGUUCUUUCUAUAUCUAAAGAUAUACUUUGUCUGAGCCUCAAGAUGUGAAGUGUUUGCAAAUUGGCUAGGUUUUGGCUUCUGUAUUUAUCAUCUCACCUAUCUUAGAUACCCAUUCAUUCUUUUUAAAAAAAAAAAACCUUUACCUUCCAUCUUAGAAUCAAUACUUAGUAUUGGUUCCAAGGCAGAAGAAUGGUAAGGGCCAGGAGGCAAUUAGGGUUAAGUGACUUGCAUAGGGUCACACAACCAGGCAGUGUCUAAGGCUUCAAACCCUACAGACCUGGCUUUCUAUCCACCAAGCCACCUCACUGCCCCUCACCCAUUCAUUCUUAAUGGAAUUUGUUCUACUAUUUCCAGUUUGAGGAUCAUUCUCCUUUAGGUCAAGGGAGUUUGGGGGUUCAAAUUCCAACACUGACACUUAGGAACUGUGUUACAAACUUCUCAUAAUGGUGUGUAUUCAUUCCACACCCCACCCUACAAUUAGGCUCUAGGUUUUGGCAGUCAGCCCCAGAAUUGAGGGCACCUGCUCUCUGAAAAUUGACCCUUGUCACCUAAACCUUCUUCAAACCAUGGUUUUCUCAGCUCUAAAUGGGAAUAAAAAUACAUGUAAUCCCUUGCCCUGCCUCCUUCCUGCCAUCCCCCCACUCAAGGCUUGCUGGGAAGAGCAAAUGAAAAAAGGUACACAAAGCAUUUUGUAAACUUAAAAGUAUACUCCAUCAGUGAUAACUAUUUGAUAAUGAUAAUGUUGAAGAGGGAAGCAUGUUCAUAAGAAAAUAGAGUUGGAGAGGACCUUAGAGACUAUCUAAUCCAUUAUCUGCAUUUUACAGAUGAGUUGUUAUUCCUACUUUCUGUCCUCUGUGUACACUGCCAAUCUACCUAUGAUAAAGGGAAUAUUAAACUUGAGACAUUUGGGGAUCAUUAAGUAAAGUUUAAUUUUAAAAGAUAUUUCAGCAAAAAAAAUUGCUGGUAUGCUAUCUUAAGUAGAAUGCACCAAGUUAAUUUACAUUAAAAUAUUUAUUAACCACUUUCUGUGUGCAAGGCAUUGUUCUAAGGGCUGGGAAUAAAAACACAAAUGUAAGAUAAUAAUCUUCCCUCCCCCCUCCCCCCUCAAUCUCUCCUCUUUGAAGAGUUUAUAUGCUCCUGGGGAGCUACCACACAUACACAGCUAAGUAAAUACAAGAUGGGUGGAGGGAAUAUUUAUGAUAUCCCUCAGGGUGGAGGGAAUAUUUAUGAUUGGUGAAUCAGAAAAGGUUUCUAACAGGAGGUGGAACUUGGAAAGAGACUAAAAAAUAUAGCAAGUGAACUCUGGAAGUGAAUUCCAGACACAGAAAACAAGCUGUUCAAUACCAUGGAGGCUAGUGAUGGAAUACUAAACUAGAGAUUAACCAGCAAUAUAAUAUGGUGGGAAUGGAGAGACUAUGUGAAGGGGAGGAAUAUCGUGGAAAAAAAGGUUGAAAAGGUAGGUUGGAGCCAGGCUGAAGCAUUUGCUUUUUAUCCUAGAAGCACCAGAAAGUCCACCAAGAUUUUUGAGCAGGAUAAUGAUAUGUUCUGACCUGUUAGAAGGAAAUAGAUUUUGAUAGUUGUAUGGAGCAUGGAUUGGAAAAGGGAAGAGGCUGGAAAUCAGGGAGACCAAUAAGGAAGUUGUUUAUAUACUUAUAUGAUACUUAUAGGCUUAUUAUAAGGAAGUAAUCAGUCCCUGUGAGAGAUAUUAAAGGACUUAAUUUGGGAUGAUGGCUUCAUGAGUAGAGAGAAAGGGAUAGGAUGCGAGAGAUAUUGUAGAGGCAAAAUUACCAAGCCUUAGUCAUAGCUUGGUUAUAGAGGGUAUGGCAAAGAAAGGAAGGAGUCAAGAAUGAUUACAAGAUUGUGCAUCUGGGGGCCUGCAGGGAUGGCUGAUGGUAUUUUCAACAAAGAAGCAGGUCAAAUAUCCUGAAAAUGAAGAAAGGGAGAUAUAAGAGAUUUAUCCAUUCGGAUUUUAAUCAGUAACCCCUGACAGAGCAACUUCAUUUGAGGAUUAGAAUUCCAUGCUAGACUGCAAAGGGGUUGAGAAGUGAACAUGAGAGGUAAGGAAAUGGAAACAGCAGACUUUUUCUAGGAGCUUGGCUAUGGAAGGGGGGAAACAGACGGAGGUGGCAACUUGAGGUCAAGUGCAGAUUUUCUGAAGAUGAGGGAAAUGAAUGCAUGAGAUCAAGUGGUCAUUUUCAUGAAUGGAAUGGAAUCAUAAGCAUGAAUGGGGGCUGGGUUGAACUCUUUCCUCAGAAUCUGGAAUAGUAGAAGAGAAUUAGAGUGCAAUGGAGAGAGGCUUUGGGGUAUGAAAUAGGACAGAAGAAGAUGCUCCUAAGAGCCUUGGUUUUCUAAGGGCAAAGCUCUCUACUGAGAAAUGGGGCAGGAGGAAUGAGAGUAUCUAAGGGCAAGAGUCCCAAAACUACAGCCCGUAGACCACAUGUGGCCCCCUGAGGCCAUUUAUCUGGCCCCCACCACACUUCUUGAAGGGGCACCUCUUUCAUUGGUGAUCAGUGAGAGUAGCCCUGUAUGUGGUGGCACCACAAAGCGUGGCAUCACUCACAUACAGUACUACUUCCAGUGACAUAAUCCUGUGCAUGGCUCCUUGUUCUGAGAGUAACUGAAUGAGAAUGAGGCGCCUCGCAAAGGAUUAUGUGGCUGCACAAUGGAAGAUGUCAGCAUGGUUAGGGCAAUCUGGAGGAGGGGAUUCUGCACUGUGUAUACUGCUGCCCAGGGAUUUGUUCAUUUUUUUUUAUAGUCCGGCCCUCCAAUGGUCUGAGGGAGAGUGAACUGGCUCCCUGUGUAAAAAGUUUGGGGACCUCUGAUCUAAGGGGCUUGUGAGGAGAGAAGAGAAAAUUUAGAAGAACCACUGGAGAAAGUAUAGUAGUCAGGGAAGAAUGGAAGGAUUGCCUUAUAAUAGGAAGGAACCAGUUGAGAUUAAGUAAUUUUGCUCUGUUGAAGACCCAAGCACCAUGGCAACAUGACUUCCUCCUGUGGAACAGCAGCAUCGUAGGAGCAGUGAGCAGAAAUUAUGUGCUUAACCCAAUGGUGAGAGUUGAUAAGUAUGAGAAGUAAUAGGUCAAGGAGUCUAAGAUUAAAUGAGAAUUAAAUAAAAAACUGAGUCUACUAUUGCUGUUUAAUAUUUAGGAGCUUUGUGGGUUUUGAAACAAAUAACUAUAGGAUUAAUUUUCUGUAGGCAUAGCAAUUAGUUUUGAUUAAUCAAUUCCAGCAACCCAAUGAGUAUUCCUUAAUAUUUACUUAUAUCUACUAUGUGAAAUUCUUUAAAGUAAUAAUAUUGUUCCUGGUCUUGUGGUGUUUCUAGCUUAAAGAAAUGAGAUCAGCAUAUAAAACAACUUUUGUCAUUUCAACCAUAUCUGACUCUUUGGAAUCCCUUUCUUGGCAAAUAUUGGACUAGUUUGCUAUUUCCUUCUACAGCUCAUUUUAUAGAUGAGGAAACAGAGGUGUGCAGGGUGAAGUGGCUUGCCCAGAGUUUAGUCACAGAAGUAAUAAGAUUCUGAGGUCAGAUUUGAACUCAGAUCUUACACUGUACCCAACUACUUCCCAGCUCACUGGAAAAUGAACUUAUUAAGAUCUCAUCCAGGAGUUCUUAAUUGGGGAUCUACAGAUUUGUUUAUCAUUUUUUUAACAUUUUGAUAUCUAUAUUUUAGCAUAAUUGGUUUCCUUUGCAAUCAUAUGCAUUUUAUUUUCUGCAUUGAAAAAAUAUCAUUCUGAGAAGGGGUUUAGAGGUUUCACUAGACCAUGGCCACAGAGAUCUAGGACACAAAAAUAGAAUAAGAUCCCCUGUUUUGGGUGUUUUCUAGACCUAUGCUCUUUAUCUUCACCGACUCCUGCCCUUUACUAAAUACAGGAACUAAUGCUGAAAAAUUCCUCAUAUGAAUUAGGCUUGCUUUAUUUUUUUUCUUUAUUAAUAAGUGGCAUAUUUUAUUUUGACAGUCGUUUCAACCAACACCCUGCCUUUCUUAUCAAGUUAAUCAAAACCACCUCCGAAAGUAAUUGCAGCCAGUAGUUUGUACUUUUUAUCAUUUAUUAACAGAAAGAUAUGUGCUUUAGCUUUAGAAAUUGGGACCCAACAUUGCCUCCUGUAUUUGACCUGGGUUUUGUUGAAUGAGGUUGUUUUGCCUGUAGGCUGAAAUUUUUAGAGCUGAAAUACCAGUUGUGAACAAAGACAGACAACUUCUAACGUGAACAAGGUGGGGAGCCCUCAGCUUCAUUUGUGCCUUUUAAACGAGGACGUCAGUGUACUCUGUCAUUCUGGACUUUCAUACCUCAAAGCAGGAAUUAGAUUUUAACUCUCAAAGUGCUUCAUGAAGUGGUGGCCAAGUCCUUUCCUCUCCCUCCCAAGGCCAGAGCCCCAUGCCUCCCUGUUGGCUCCACUCUUUGGCCCCAGUCCUGCCUUCUGGAACCUGUCAGAAUAAGAAUGCUCCAGUAUCUACAAGCAGUGGUCUCCAGGAUUUUGUUUGAUUGCCUCUCUCUAUCACAAUCCCUUGCACUCCUAAGAUUUACCUGGCUAAUAAAAUGAUCCUGUCAUAUAAA